rnacentral:rRNA from 1 species
AUUGAACGCUGGCGGCAUGCUUUACACAUGCAAGUCGAACGGUAACAGGUUAAGCUGACGAGUGGCGAACGGGUGAGUAAUGCAUCGGAACGUGCCCGGUCGUGGGGGAUAACGCAGCGGAAGCUGCGCUAAUACCGCAUACGAUCUAAGGAUGAAAGCGGGGGACCGUAAGGCCUCGCGCGAUCGGAGCGGCCGAUGUCAGAUUAGGUAGUUGGUGGGGUAAAGGCUCACCAAGCCAACGAUCUGUAGCUGGUCUGAGAGGACGACCAGCCACACUGGGACUGAGACACGGCCCAGACUCCUACGGGAGGCAGCAGUGGGGAAUUCUGGACAAUGGGCGAAAGCCUGAUCCAGCAAUGCCGCGUGCAGGAAGAAGGCCUUCGGGUUGUAAACUGCUUUUGUACGGAGCGAAAAGGUCUCCUCUAAUACAGGGGGCUCAUGACGGUACCGUAAGAAUAAGCACCGGCUAACUACGUGCCAGCCGCCGCCGUAA